rnacentral:rRNA from 1 species
CCUACGGGUGGCAGCAGUGGGGAAUAUUGCACAAUGGGGGAAACCCUGAUGCAGCGACGCCGCGUGAGUGAAGAAGUAUUUCGGUACGUAAAGCUCUAUCAGCAGGGAAGAAAAUGACGGUACCUGACUAAGAAGCCCCGGCUAACUCCGUGCCAGCAGCCGCGGUAAUACGUAGGGGGCAAGCGUUAUCCGGAUUUACUGGGUGGAAAGGGAGCGUAGACGGCAGCGCAAGUCUGGAGUGAAAUCCCAGGGCUUAACCAUGGAACUGCUUUGGAAACUGUGCAGCUGGAGUGCAGGAGAGGUAAGCGGAAUUCCUAGUGUAGCAGUGAAAUGCGUAGAUAUUAGGAGGAACACCAGUGGCGAAGGCGGCUUACUGGACUGUAACUGACGUUGAGGCUCGAAAGCGUGGGGAGCAAACAGGAUUAGAUACCCUGGUAGUC